rnacentral:misc_RNA from 1 species
UUCCUUUUUUCGCUUUCUUUCAGUCGGUCACCAUUUCUCUCUCUCUCUCACUCUCUUAUUCCCUUCUUUCAAUUUCAAUUUAGGGCAAACUUGAACUCACUUGUUUUGACUCACAACCUAAAAAGAUCUCUAUAUACACCGUUGAUCUGCCUCUCAGUUACUGUUUUCGUCUCUCUUCUCAUGUCAGAAUCACUUCGGCUUUGAUCCCCA